AGAGUUUGAUCAUGGCUCAGGAUGAACGCUAGCGGCAGGCUUAAUACAUGCAAGUCGUGGGGCAGCGCAGUGUAGCAAUACAUGGGCGGCGACCGGCAAACGGGUGCGGAACACGUACGCAACCUUCCUUUAAGUGGGGGAUAGCCCAGGGAAACUUGGAUUAAUACCCCGUAAUAUUAUGAGCUGGCAUCAGCUUAUAA
rnacentral:rRNA from 1 species